rnacentral:rRNA from 1 species
UGUCUUCGGACGCUGACGAGUGGCGAACGGGUGAGUAAUACAUCGGAACGUGCCCAGUCGUGGGGGAUAACUACUCGAAAGAGUAGCUAAUACCGCAUACGAUCUGAGGAUGAAAGCGGGGGACCUUCGGGCCUCGCGCGAUUGGAGCGGCCGAUGGCAGAUUAGGUAGUUGGUGGGAUAAAAGCUUACCAAGCCGACGAUCUGUAGCUGGUCUGAGAGGACGACCAGCCACACUGGGACUGAGACACGGCCCAGACUCCUACGGGAGGCAGCAGUGGGGAAUUUUGGACAAUGGGCGAAAGCCUGAUCCAGCAAUGCCGCGUGCAGGAUGAAGGCCUUCGGGUUGUAAACUGCUUUUGUACGGAACGAAAAAGCUUCUCCUAAUACGAGAGGCCCAUGACGGUACCGUAAGAAUAAGCACCGGCUAACUACGUGCCAGCAGCCGCGGUAAUACGUAGGGUGCGAGCGUUAAUCGGAAUUACUGGGCGUAAAGCGUGCGCAGGCGGUUAUGUAAGACAGAUGUGAAAUCCCCGGGCUCAACCUGGGAACUGCAUUUGUGACUGCAUGGCUAGAGUACGGUAGAGGGGGAUGGAAUUCUGCGUGUAGCAGUGAAAUGCGUAGAUAUGCGGAGGAACACCGAUGGCGAAGGCAAUCCCCUG